rnacentral:rRNA from 1 species
UUGAACGCUGGCGGCAGGCCUAACACAUGCAAGUCGAGCGGCAGCGCGGGGCAACCUGGCGGCGAGCGGCGGACGGGUGAGUAACGCGUAGGAAUCUACCCAGUAGCGGGGGAUAGCCCGGGGAAACUCGGAUUAAUACCGCAUACGCCAUAAGGGGGAAAGUAGGGGAUCGUAAGACCUUGCCAUAUUGGAAGAGCCGGCGUUGGAUUAGCUAGUUGGUAGGGUAAAGGCCUACCAAGGCGACGAUCCAUAACUGGUCUGAGAGGAUGAUCAGUCACACCGGAACUGAGACACGGUCCGGACUCCUACGGGAGGCAGCAGUGGGGAAUAUUGGACAAUGGGGGCAACCCUGAUCCAGCCAUGCCGCGUGUGUGAAGAAGGCCUUCGGGUUGUAAAGCACUUUAAGUGGGGAGGAAGGGGUGAUUGCUAAUAACAAUCAUCAUUGACGCUACCCACAGAAUAAGCACCGGCUAACUCUGUGCCAGCCGCCGCGGUAA